CCUACGGGAGGCAGCAGUGGGGAAUAUUGCGCAAUGGGCGAAAGCCUGACGCAGCGACGCCGCGUGAGGGAUGAAGGUCUUCGGAUCGUAAACCUCUGUUAGCAGGGAAGAACGGUCACUGUGCUAAUCCGCAGUGAAUUGACGGUACCUGCAAAAGCAGCACAGGCUAACCCAGUGCCAGCAGCCGCGGUAAUACGGCGGGUGCGAGCGUUAAUCGGCAUUACUGGGCGUAAAGCGGUCGGAGGUGGUAUGUCAAGUUAAGGGUGAAAUCCCCUCGCUCAACGUGGGAACUGCCUUUGAAACUGGCAAACUGGAGUGUGUGUGAGGUUAGUGGAAUUGGUGGUGUAGGAGUGAAA
rnacentral:rRNA from 1 species